AGCUCCAUUAGCGUAUAUUAAAGUUGUUGCAGUUAAAAAGCUCGUAGUUGGAUUUCGGUGUGGGCCCGUCGGUCGGCCGCAAGGCCUGUUACUGACUGGUCCGCUCUUCCUCUCAAAGACUGCACGUGCCCUUCGCUGGGUGUGUGUAUCGGAUUUGGGACGUUUACUUUGAAAAAAUUAGAGUGUUCAAGGCAGGCUUUGAGGCUUGAAUACAUGAGCAUGGAAUAAUGGAAUAGGACCUCGGUCCCUAUUUCGUUGGUUUUACGGACCGAAGUAAUGAUUAAUAGGGAUAGUUGGGGGCAUUAGUAUUUAAUUGUCAGAGGUGGAAUUCUUUGAUUUGUUAAAGACUAACCUAUGCGAAAGCAUUUGCCAAGGAUGUUUUCAUUAAUCAAGAACGAAA
rnacentral:rRNA from 1 species